UGCAGAUCGUCUGAGGAUAAACCUGUCCAACAGCAUGUCAGUUCCUAACCUAAAGCUCUUCACUCUUUCUCCACACCCCAAGGCCCUUUCUGAAACCUAGUCCCACUUCCAGCCAUUGAGAAGCGUUUUGGUGGGUCUGAUGUUCACCCCCACCUACAAGGCUGGUGCUUCUGCAUCUCCACGAGUGAAAGGCCCAUAAGAGGCAGGACUGUACCUGCUGGGGCUAUCAUUCAGACAGCUGUUGGAUGAUCUCCUGGGGAGAUGUGAGCAAACAUCAGCUCACUUGAGACAGGACACAGAAGACAGGACCCAAAAGACAGGACCCGGAAGACAGGACACAGAAGACAAAGGAUCUAACUUGCAAAACCAGUGAAUUUUUAAUGGGGUCACUUACAGGAGAGUAAGUCACUAAAGGCAACUGCAUCACUGAAAUACCUACCUUAGCCUGGGUGUGGACUCACAAAGUCUGUAUCCCUGUAAUCUAGUCCAACGUGCAGACAAUUCCACCGAAGAGUCUCCUUUUGCCACCAACUAUUUCUUCUUAUAGAACCUUGGAGGUUUUGUUAAAGACAAACAAACAAAAAUGACUUUUUUUACAUUUA